rnacentral:lncRNA from 1 species
UCGAAGAUAAGUCGGUGACUCGGUACUCUGUUUGUGUUUCUGAUUUAUCAGUUGCUUCACAAUUCACCUUGUUUCUCUGCGCCUCCCAUGGUCGGAAUAGAGAAUCCGGUGUUGGUAGAUUCUUCCUUUGCUGAGAGCAUCUUAUUACUUCAUUUGGAGUGUGGCUUAUUUCAACCUUCAGUCAAGUCGGUGCUCUCUUUAGUUUCCUAUCUCUCUCCGUUGCUUCUCCAUUCAAUUUACAUGAAUCAAAGGGCCGGUUUCAGUUCGUAAACGACUAAACGAGGAUUCAUUCUUCUGCACUCUCUCAUUCUUGCGGGAUCAUGAAACGUUGUGUGGUAAUUCAUCUCCCUUCUUCUCCACCGAUGAUUUGCUUUCUCAAUUGAAAUUGCGAUAAUGGGUGAAUAAUAAUUUUCAUUGGAGGUUUUUACCCCUUGGUUUGUGGGUUAUUUCACAAUUUCUGGUCAUCUGUUAUGGGAUUUUCCUCCUUGGAAAUGUUGGAAUGACGUGUGUUCAUGUGGGUUUCUGAUUAUCAAGUCCGUGCAGACUUCUUUUCUCAUGAAAUGCCUGCUUUUAUUGUCCAUUGUACGGAAACCCUAGCCUCGCUAUAUAUAUGGUAAAAUGCUCGUGUUUUGCUAUGUAAAAUUAGGGUUUUUUCUGUCAUUUGAAAAGGAGAUUUCAAUCAUCUGCCAUCUCCAAGUUUGCCCGAUCGUAAGUUUUUUUGUUGGAUUGUAAAACCUUUUGAGAGUGAUAUGAUUAAGUAUGUCCUUAUCUCCACUCAUAAUUUGUUUUCCAAGAAUAUUUACAUGAUGUUGGGAAAUAUGUUGAGUUCUUUAGAGAUUACAGACGACAUAUUUCAAACUUCAUCUUGUCCGGAAAGUCUAUACAACAAAUUGGGUAUUCGUAACUAGUUUCUGUUUGAUUACUCAUCUGUCCGUUCGCCAUUUCGAAAUUUGAAUUUAGAUUAACGUAAUUUGUGGGUUACGGAAUUCCUAUUCAUUUGGUAACGCAACAACAAAGACUAGACUGGUAUUUCAUGAAUAUAACCCCAUUGGCAGCCCCCUACCCUUUUGGAUAAGGUUUUCCAUAGGUGGGAUGUGUUGCCUAGGCCGUUUCUCUGUGGCCUUUAUCAAUUUCAAACUCUGUUCAUUGAUAAAGUGGGAAGCAUCAUUUGGUUUUCCAUCAAUAUACUUUGACAAUUGUCAUUCUGUUGCCCUUCUACCCUUUGGACAAGAUUUUUCGUCCAUAGGGUCUUAGAUGGGAACUUGUUCAGGGUUCGUAAGCUCCUUUGUCACAAAUAGGGUCUUACUUCGGUUGUUCGGUUGCCCAUCUGCCCUUUGGACGAGCCUUUUAUCUAUAGGGUCCUAUAUGGGAACCGAUGCUAGAUCCUUAAGCUGGUUUGCCGUAAAUAUCCUACUUUUGGUUGCCCUUCUGCCCUUUGGACACGUGCUUUUGUUUAUAGGGUCCUAGAUGGGAACCAUUUCAGGUCCGUAAGAUGGUUUACCACAAAUAGACUGACAUCGGUAUUUUGGUCGCCCUUCUGCCCUUUGGACAAGCCUUUCGUCUAUAGAGUCCUAGAUGGGAACCUGUUCAAGGUGUGUCGUUGGUGUUUAAAAAUGGGACUAUGAAAUGAGUUAUUGGUAUUUGUGAGGUGCUUCAGAGGUUCUAUGAGUUGUCUGGUCUUCAGAUAAAUACUGACAGAACAAGGUGUUAGAAAGAGAAUGAUGACUUAGUUCUCUGUUUCUUUCUAUUGAGUGGCAUGAAAACUGCAGUGGAUAUUAGGCUUCUGAUGUAGAAUUGUAUAUCACUCGUCUUUCACUUGAUUAUUGUGUCAGGUGCCGUAAAGAUUGAAAUAAGUAAUUUUGUUUUCAACCAUAGCUCAAUUUUUGUUGUGCAGAUUUCCUAGCUUCGAUAUAUCAGUAAACUGCUCUAGUCUUUUCUAUAUAGGGCCAUGGACGUUCAGUUUACAUGAAGAAAGGGUUCACCAGUUUUGGUUCUUAAAGGACAAUUUAGUUUUUGGUAUGAUCUCAUUCUUUUGUGAGUAUGAUGUGAGUAAUGAUUUCUUUAUGUCCUCUCCACUAAUAGUUUGUUUCCUAAGAAUAUUUAAUUGAUGUUGGGAAAGGUUUUGAUCGGAAUUCCCUUCCAUGUGAGUUCUUUCACAGAUUAUAGCCUCAUGUUUUUAAACUUAUCUUGUUGGAAUGUAAAACCCAUAGAUUGGUUUUCAUGGCUGGUUUUAUGUGAUUAAUGAUCCACUAAUCUGCCAGAUUAUUGAAUUCUUGUUUUGGUUACACAACAAUAGCCAAUGUGAGUUCUGUCACAAAUUACAGCCUCAUAUUUUUAAACUCAUCUUGUUGGACUGUAAAAACCAUAGAUUGGUUUUCAUGGCUGGUUUUAUGUGAUUAAUGAUCCACUAAUCUGCCAGAUGUUUGAAUUCCUGUUUUGGUUACACAACAACAGCCAAUGUUGUAUUUCUAAACUAAGCGACUUGGUAGCACGCUGCCCUUUUGAAUAAGUUGUCCAUAGGGUCAGAGAUGGGAUCCUUUUCCCUGGCUUUUGUUCUACCUCUAUCAUCAAUUUCCAGCUUAUUGGUAAUGUGAAAAGUAUAAGCUGGUUUACUAUAAAUAGACUGACAAAAGUAUCCUGGUUGCUUUCUGCCCCUUUGAUCUAUGUCUGUGAAAUGAUGCUUUCAUCUCGAGGAUCAUGUCGAGGAAUAUCUUGGGUUCUUCUUCUCAAAUUCUUCUGAAUGAGAUUUAAUUUUUUAAUCUGAAACUAAAAGUUGCUUCAAGAAUAUGCAAUGGAAUGAUCUUGGAUCAACGCGUCUUGUUCAAGUUUUAGUGUCCACUGACAUGAUAUAAUGCAUUCAGAGAGAUGCCUUUGCCUGUCCUUUUUCCCCGCUGGCUGUCUUAUAAGAAGGAAACCAUGUCCCAAAGAGUUAUCUUUAAUUUUUUUUCGAUUUGAAUACCAGAACUGCUUCUUCUUGAGACUAAUAAAUCUUUGGUCAGCACUGGUGGAAUAUUAUAUGGCUUUGGUUGUGUGUACAUUUGGUGGAAUAUUAUAUGGCUUGGUUGGUUUGAAAUUUUGUUGGUGAGAUGAGUAUGAGCUAAAUUUCUAAGUUGAUUGAAGCCUGAUUAGCAUGUUGAGUUGUUUAAUUCACAAAUUCUAGCUUGCAAGCUAAGCUCAUACCGUCCAGAAAUCACAAUAAAUCUCUAUGUUUUAGUAGGCAUUCAUCAAGCAAGUUAAAUAAUUUUGUUUCAGAAUUUUUGUUCAGGCAUUACAAUCAUUGCUGCAUUAGCUUUAGAUUAUUUAGAAAACGGCAAAGCUGCAAUCAUCGUAUAAUUAAGACAGUGGGGAUGGUACAUACGGCAACGGUGUUGUUGGAAUCAAUGUCUAUGUGUCAGUUGAUGACAUUUGCUAUUUUUAAUGGUGCCUUAAUGUUCCCUUAUAAUAGGGUUUGAGUAGUAGUCGCUCGUUUUCGAUGAUGGUUUGAAAAGAAGCAAGUGUUGAUAUCUCAUGUCGAGGAAACCAUGUCUAGAAAAAAGUUAUAUUUUCUCGGUUUAAAUAGUUGAAUUGGUUCCUCUUGUCACUAAUAGUCUCAAUCAUUGGUCAGUACUUGAAGAAUGUGUUAAGCCUAUUUGAAUCUUAGGUCAGUACUUGAUGAAUAUGAUAUGGCUAUUGGUUUAAAAUCUUGGGUUGGUAUAUUUGGCUGAUGUCGCAUAAAUGUGAGCAGAACUCUCUAAGUUCACUGAGGUCCCAUUAGCCUUUCAGGCUCCCUAAUUGAAAACUCUGGUCUGUAAACUAUGAUCGUACAGUUUAGAAAGGACCUGAAACAUCUGCUUUUAUGUUGGCAAUGUGUUUGACGCAUCUGCACCGUGGGAGUUAGGCUUUUGGUACCCUUUUCCCCUUGGGGUCCUAGAAGGGAACUGGCAUACCUAUGUUUUUGCUAUUAUUGGUUUAUUACUAGAAUUCGUUUUCAAGGUCUCUGGCUUUAUAUUCUGAUGUAGCCAGAAGUCGCAUCUUUAAACCAAAGCAAAGAAUUCAGUUUCAGGAUUCUUGUUCAGGAACUGCAAGUCUCAUUAUUGCACUAGCUUUAGAGUAACUGAUUAAAGACUAAACUACGAUCAUGAUGUUGUCCGGGCAGCAAUGGAGUUGGGAAAAUGUAGGAUCAUUAUUUUUGAGUCGGUUGAUGGGAUUGAUAGUUCAUUAAUGCUCAUUGUCUGUAUUUGCUAGAUUAUUUUCCUUAUAAAAAGCGUGCGAUGCACUAUAUUAGUAUAAUGACACUGGUUCAAAAAGACUAAGUCUUGAGACCUCUAGUUGCCAGUUUUGUCUUGACUCCUCUAGCUGCUCUCUUUGGACUAUUAAGUAGGUCCUCAAGAAGCUGAUAAUUGAACUCAGUAUGACAUGUUUUUAUUCCUGGCAUAAUAGCUUGGAAUCAGUAGCAGUUUUUCAGCUUGGAACCAGUUUUCAAUUGGUAAUCAUUGUAGUUCGUGCGAUUUGAUUGACAAAAUCCAUUAAGAGAAAAUGUACUCGAACCCUUGGCCACUAAUUUAUUUCAUUCCACAGAGCUCUCGUAGUCGUCACAAAGCAGUGGUAUGGGUGGUGGGGUGGUAGGAUCUGAUACUCAUUUAUAGAACCAUAAUUUAUGUGUGAGAAGGAUUGAGAGUACUAUUGAAUGAAUAGACGGUAAGUAGGCUCGUCUCCUUGUAUUGAAAAUUGGAGACCGAGUCCUGAUACCAAAUGGAUAGGCAAAUUGGGUUUAAGUACUAACUAUACUAGAACUCUGACAACUAACUAGAUAACUAAUCUAACUAGGAGAAUUAUACCGCUAAUUAUUCUUAUGUGGAUAAUUUUAUACUUGCCCUCAAGUGUUGUAGUGGAUAUUUAGGAGGUGAAGUUUGAGCACCUGGUUGCUGAAAAGUUCUCGAGUAAAAAUCUUUAUUAGGAAGAUAAGCAAGUUAAUCUCUCAACCGUACUUACUCUAGUAUUAUUGCUCUACUGUUUUUCUCAGAAAUGAAGUGUUCGUCUGGUUACUCAAUCUGAUAGUGUCACGUCCUGAUUGACUACUGGAUUGAGUAAACACACUUACUGUAUUUAACUUUGAUUUAGGAGCAAAUAUCUCCUUCCAAUCCAGCUCGUAUGAUUUAAGUAAAAUUGCAAGCUACGAGCAUUGGAUUUUACCUGUUCUGCAGUUCUAUCUGACUUGAAUGCACCUGUUAAUUGCAACAAUGGUGGAUCUCCUAACUAGGAGUUGUACCACUCUAGUUUUUGUUGAAGAGCAUUUAGUUCUUCAGCUACUUCUUUGCUUCCACUUAGGUAUCAUCAUGACUUAUACUUCUUCAAUAUGGUGAGGAGCCCUGUGUUUCCAUAUUGUUGCUGCUUAGUUUUCCAUGUGAUAUUGUGCAAUUCUCUCUCAUUUCCUCUUGAGUGUUUGGUACAAUAUCAUUAGUAACAAUAGGAACAUCUGGCUUGACAUGUUCAGUGUUGUGUGUUUCAUACCUACUGCUUUUGUAGGGGUCUCUUGGUUCUUUCUUCUUUGAUAAAUCUGUAGCUAGUUGUGUGAAUUUGCUCAAGUUCCAGAGUUAGAACCAGGUUGGGGAUAGGGUUAUCUCUUAUAGCUGACUCAGUUAUGUCUAGAUGAUCAUAUCCCAAAGCUGAAAUUUCGUAUGAAGUAGACUUCCCUUUGGAUGAAUAGAGUCUACCUUCGAAGAACGUGACAUCCUUAAAGAAGUUGGAAUUUUAUGGUGAUGAUUGGCGAGAAGAACGUAAUGUUGUGUUGAUGAAUAAACUAGGUUGCCCGAAUUAGAAUGUCCUAACUAUAAUGUAAGAGCAUUACUUUAUUCUCUAACUUAGAUGAUAAAAUUGAAAUAGCUCUUUAUGUCCUUCAGCCACUGAAUACAUACCUUGAGUGGUCAACCCCUUCAUGGGAUAUAGACCAUCAGACUUUACAGUCAUGCUCCACUACACCUGCCUUACUAAUAUAUCUUUUAAUAUUCUGUAAUAAGUCUUGGUUGUACGCCGUGUGAUCUAUUACUCCAGAGUCUAUAGCUAAACAUUUUAUGGCCUUAGAUUAGAUAAAGAAGCAGAAUGAAUACUGUACUCAUAGCAUAGACUUGUUGUCAUAUAGGGUGUUCUUCCUUUUCUAUUAGGUGAGUAGCUAGGCCCACGAUACCUGAAUCUUUUACUAUUAAAGCUGGUCAUUCCAGCUCAGUCAUGAGCUUAGGUAUCAACAUUGCUCCAAAAUCCCAUGAUACAUGAUAGAAUCAUCAAUACGUGUCCAAGUAUGAACCUCUUGCUGUAUUUUGAUAGUAUAUCAAAAUAUGUCCCUUUGGUGCAGACCAUGGAGUUCCAUCUCGAUGUCAAACAAUUCAACAUUGUUUGAUUUACCUGGAUAUCUAUGAUGAGCUCAUUCCCAGAUAGCUCGACAUCUAGCGCUUCUAUCCAAUGGAUUGAUGUUUAACUUAAUAUUUUGUCUAGCAAUUUGGGACUCGCGUUCAUCUAAAUUGAUCGAACACAAUUAUGUGUUCAAACUAGCUACACUUCGUGUUAUGAAGAUGCGGAUAAUUUGGUGGUAUGCUUUUUUCAAGUUUUGUUUCUAAUGUCUAAUGUAGAAUGAUCGAAUCAAACUAGGCCCAUGUUUACUACCUCGAAAUUGAGCGACCUAAACCAAUUAACGGAUUUUUGCGACAUUAUGUACAUUUCGGCCCAAUUUGAUUUUGGGUCUUAUUUCAGACCUGUUUUUAUUAGUUAUCUAGAAGCAGGCACUUUCCUUUUAUGUCAGGAGUGGCUAUUGAAAUGUGAUUAGUUCUGAAGGGAGGUGAUAGCCCUUUAUUUUUUAAAAAAGGACAACCCAAUUUCUCUAGCAAGGGAGGAGGAUAAAAAGAAGAAACAAAGGGCAUUAAUUUUUCUUCUACCAAUUACAACAAUAACAAAA